rnacentral:rRNA from 1 species
GACGUAGGGCGCGAGCGUUGUCCGGAUUUAUUGGGCGUAAAGAGCUCGUAGGCGGCUCGGUAAGUCAGGUGUGAAAACUCCAGCUCAACCUGAGACGCCACCUGAUACUGCUGUGGCUAGAGUCCGGUAGGGGAGCAUGGAAUUCCUGGUGUAGCGGUGAAAUGCGCAGAUAUCAGGAGGAACACCAGUGGCGAAGGCGGUGCUCUGGGCCGGAACUGACGCUGAGGAGCGAAAGCGUGGGGAGCAAACAGG